rnacentral:SRP_RNA from 1 species
AGCUAGAUCCUGAGUGAUGCUGCUCUGUGAACCCCGCCAGGACCGGAAGGUAGCAACGGUAGCAGAUGUUAGUAGGUGCUCAGGUAAUCUAGCUAUC